GUCGCACCUACCGAUUGAAUGGUCCGGUGAAGCCUCGGGAUUGUGGUCAGUUUGCUUUAUUGCAAGUUGAUUGCGAGAACCUGUCUAAACCUUAUCAUUUAGAGGAAGGUG
rnacentral:rRNA from 1 species